rnacentral:tRNA from 1 species
GGGUGGUUAGCUCAGUUGGUUAGAGCGCUGGCCUCACAUGCCAGAGGUCACAGGUUCGAAUCCUGUACCACCCACCA